rnacentral:ncRNA from 1 species
UACCUGGUUGAUCCUGCCAGUAGUCAUAUGCUUGUCUCAAAGAUUAAGCCAUGCAAGUCUAAGUACGAGCUCUCGUACAGUGAAACUGCGAAUGGCUCAUUAAAUCAGUUAUGGUUCAUUUGAUCGUACAGU